GGGCCUGUAGCUCAGUUGGUUAGAGCAGGGGACUCAUAAUCCCUUGGUCCCAGGUUCGAGUCCUGGCAGGCCCACCA
rnacentral:tRNA from 1 species